rnacentral:rRNA from 1 species
UACGUAGGCAGCGAGCGUUGUUCGGAGUUACUGGGCGUAAAGCGUGCGUAGGCGGUGUGUCACGUCGGCCGUGAAAACCUGCAGCUUAACUGUGGGCGUGCGGUCGAUACGGGCAUCACUGGAGUUCGGCAGGGGAGACUGGAAUUCCUGGUGUAGCGGUGAAAUGCGCAGAUAUCAGGAGGAACACCGGUGGCGAAGGCGGUUCUCUGGGCAUUACCUGACGCUGAGGAGCGAAAGCGUGGGGAGCAAACAGG